rnacentral:rRNA from 1 species
AGUAACUGCGAGUGAAGCGGGAAAAGCUCAAAUUUAAAAUCUGAUAGUCCUAGGCUGUCCGAGUUGUAAUCUAGAGAAGUGUUAUCCGCGCUGGACCGUGUACAAGUCUCCUGGAAUGGAGCGUCAUAGAGGGUGAGAAUCCCGUCUUUGACACGGACUACCAGGGCUUUGUGAUGCGCUCUCAAAGAGUCGAGUUGUUUGGGAAUGCAGCUCAAAAUGGGUGGUAAAUUCCAUCUAAAGCUAAAUAUUGGCGAGAGACCGAUAGCGAACAAGUACCGUGAGGGAAAGAUGAAAAGAACUUUGGAAAGAGAGUUAAACAGUACGUGAAAUUGCUGAAAGGGAAACGCUUGAAGUCAGUCGCGUUGACCAGGGAUCAACCUUGCUCUUGCUGGGUGUACUUUCUGGUUAACGGGUCAACAUCAAUUUUGAUUGUUGGAAAAAGAUCAAGGGAAUGUAGCAUCUUCGGAUGUGUUAUAGCCUUUGGUUGUAUACAACAGUUGGGAUUGAGGAACU